GAUGAACGCUGGCGGCGUGCCUAAUACAUGCAAGUAGAACGCUGAAGGAGGAGCUUGCUCUUCUGGAUGAGUUGCGAACGGGUGAGUAACGCGUAGGUAACCUGCCUGGUAGCGGGGGAUAACUAUUGGAAACGAUAGCUAAUACCGCAUGACAACAGUUAUUGCAUGAUAACUGUUUAAAAGGGGCAACUGCUCCACUACCAGAUGGACCUGCGUUGUAUUAGCUAGUUGGUGAGGUAACGGCUCACCAAGGCGACGAUACAUAGCCGACCUGAGAGGGUGAUCGGCCACACUGGGACUGAGACACGGCCCAGACUCCUACGGGAGGCAGCAGUAGGGAAUCUUCGGCAAUGGACGGAAGUCUGACCGAGCAACGCCGCGUGAGUGAAGAAGGUUUUCGGAUCGUAAAGCUCUGUUGUAAGAGAAGAACGAGUGUGAGAGUGGAAAGUUCACACUGUGACGGCAUCUUACCAGAAAGGGACGGCUAACUACGU
rnacentral:rRNA from 1 species